ensembl:lncRNA
AACUGGACACAGCACUCCAGAUGUGGCCUCACCAGGGCAGAACAGGGGGGGAGGAUCACCUCCCCCGACCUGCUUGCCACACUCUUCUUGGCGCACCUAAGGAUACACUGACAUUGGCCAUCAGGGCAUACUGCUGGCUCAUGGCCAACCUGUGGUCCAUCAGGAUACCCAGGUCCUUCUCUGAAAGCUCCUCUCCAGUAGGGCAAUUGGAUCCUUCUCCUUCCAGGUUUUGCCCCAGUUUUGAGAAUGAUGUUGAAGCUACAUCUGCAGAAGAGGCUACAGGAUAGCUGCAUUCUGCCUCUUUGUGUUCUCUCAUCACACAGGAAGAGAUGGAGUUAUCAUGGCUUCAUGGAUUGAACCAGAGAAGGACUAUCUGCUGAGAAGCAUCACUUCUGAAUAGUUAUUUUGCAGUUCUAUCAUUGCUAGAGGAAAGUAAUUGCACACUUGACAGAACAGACUUUCUUGACUCCUCAUAGUUUGCCAAGUGAUUGAGAGAAAAAUUAGAACGCUAUGGUCUGAACCUGGCUUCAAGUGUGAACCAGUUGCAAAAUGUGAAAUAAAAUAAGUGUUGCUGGCUUUGUAAUAACAGUCUGUCCUUUGUCAUUGCCGUGGCAUUUGACAGUGCAAAAACAGAAAUAAAAACUCUUCGUGAACAGGAAUGAAAUUUCAGAAGACAGAAGUUCCUACGAGCAACAUCUCUUGAAUUUUGAGUAGCAGAAGAAAUUGUCUCUGCUAUGCUUGUUAUGUUAUCACACGUUUCAACAAGACCAAAGGGCACUUAGAGCUAAAAUGCCCAGUUCCUACUACUAAUUAUAUCAGCUUGAGUUGACCAUUUUCACAGUGUAUGCUGCGGCUGAUACUGGAGUUUGGGCUCCUGCACCACUUCCAUACUAUCCAAUUUUGGUUUUUUUUGUUUUGUUUUGUUUUGUUUAAUUUUUGUCUGUACAUGUUUGAACUAGUUCAAGUCCCAGUACCACUGUUUAAAUGAAUCCCUGUUUUCUUUCACUGCUGAUUUACUGAGAGCCUGUACAGAAAAAUUUGUAUCUUCUUUAAGAAAGGAGAGCCUUGUCUUUGCAGAAACAGAGAUUUACUUGUAUUUCCAGUGCAAAUUUCAUUUUUUCAAUGCACAAUGUUAAUAUUUUUAGACACAAAUCAAAGUGCUAGUGGGGAAAGGUUCAUUUUGUUGUCCAUAAUUUUCCAACCCAUUUUUAUACCUGCCAGAAAUUGCUCAUAAAAUGAGAUGUCAUCUAAUUUUCAAUAAUUUAUUGGUAUUUCUUUCAGAUCUUCCAUGGCCCAUAACAGAAUCCUUAUGUCAUGAGCUGUCAAUAGAGUUUCUGGUUUCAAAACUUCAAUCUAAAUAA